rnacentral:rRNA from 1 species
CCUACGGGUGUCUGCAGUGAGGAAUAUUGGUCAAUGGGCGUAAGCCUGAACCAGCCAAGCCGCGUGCGGGAUGAAGGUUCUAUGGAUCGUAAACCUCUUUUAUAAGGGAAUAAAGUGCGGGACGUGUCCCGCUUUGAAUGUACCGUAUGACUAAGGAUCGGCUAACUCCGUGCCAUCAGCCGCGGUAAGACGGAGGAUCCGAGCGUUAUCCGGAUUGAUUGGGGUUAAAGGGUGCUUAGGCGGCCUUUUAAGUCAGCGGUGAAAGUUUCUGGCUCAACCAGGGAAUUGCCGUGGAUACUGGGAGGCUUGAGUAUGUAUGAGGAAGGCGGAAUGCGUGGUGUAGCGGUGAAAUGCUUAGAUAUCAGGCAGAACCCCGAUUGCGAAGGCAGCCUGCCAGGCCAUGACUGACGCUGAUGCACGAAAGCGUGGGGAGCAAACAGGAUUAGAUACCCCAGUAGUC